CAGAAAUGGCAUCAGCACCCCUGGAGCUGGAGGUAUAGAUGCUUGUGAGCCAGCAUGUGCCUGCUGGAAAUUAAACCCUGGUCCUCCCGCAGAGCAACCAGUGGUCUUCACUGCUGAGCCAUCUCUCCAGACUUGACUAUCCACCGUAUUCAACUGGGAGUCCAGAUCAGAAUCCCAUUCUCCACUUCUGCAGCUACAAGGUCUUCAGCAGUGUCACUGAGGGACCUGGUGCUGUAAGCGGUUCUAGGCGUCCCCGUGGGCUCAUGUGACUGGUGGGAAGUUUCACGUGUAUGACAAGCACUGUAGGAUGACAGUCCUGACCAUGUGAGCGGAGUGCCUGCGUGGAAGUCAGAGGACAGCCUAACGGACUCUGUUCUCUCCUGCCGUGUAGCCUUCCAUGAGCUUGUGUGGGAACACCUUACUCAUGGGCCAUCUCACUGACCCUGUCCCUGUGUUCUUUACCAAGGCACUUUCAGGAAACAGUGGAGGGUAGUGAAGUGGCAGAUGGCGGUGCAGGUGCCUGUGGAGGGUGUGAGGUCCCAUGGAGCCGGAACUCCAAGUGGCUGUAAGCUCCUGUGUGAGCUCUGAGGAUGAAUUCACAUCCCCUGAAAGAGCAUUAAGCUGGUGCUGAGCCAUCACUACAGGCCCAGAAAACUGAAAUUUUUAAUCAUACAAUUUUUAUAUUCAAAUUCUUUCCUGAGAAUAACCUCAAAAGAACUUCUGGAGUUUUUAUUUUACAUUGUGGUAAUAUUAUUUAUUUUGUUCAGAUAAUCUGUCACAGUGAAAUUGAACAAAUCAAAACAAUAAAAACUGAAAGAAUGUUGGGAAUUGCAACCUAGAAAUCCAUUCUGACAGAUAAAGUAAGCAAAUAAAGCUCUUAAAAUUAUUGUGCAGAAGUAACAGUUAUUUACUGUUUUUUUGGUAUUUAUUUAUUAUAACUUGUGGAAAAGCCCUGAAGCAGCUAGUUUUAUACACCAUUCCACAACAGCUUAACACUCAUGGGGUGUGCCAAAGCAUCCUUGCGUGUCAGUGGUUAGGACAGACUGGGGGCGCUUGAUUCCACAAAAGAGUCCAUCAGUGGCUUUAGCCCACCUCUGGGUCAUGUCUUAGUCUUUCCCUUCCCCUGAGCCUUCUCCCUGCCUUCCUCUGCUUAGCCUCUCUUCCUCACCCCUCCCUUUAAGAUCCCUUCUUCCUGGGUGGGAGGGAUGCAUAGUAGUUAAGGGCACUUGCUAUGCUUUAUAUUGGAUCUAGGUCCAGUUACCAGGCCCCUCAUGGUGGCUCACAACCAUCUAUAAUGCCAGUACCAGGGAAUCUGAUGCCCUCUUUUGGUCCCUGAAGGCACCAAGUAAACAUGGUGCACGUACAUGCAUGCAGACAAAACACUCACACAUACAAAGGAUACUAAAUAGGCCUUUAAAAAAUAUCUCUUUUCAUGAUUGCCUUUCUAGUUUCAGGACACACAUACACAAA